rnacentral:rRNA from 1 species
GAUGAACGCUGACAGAAUGCUUAACACAUGCAAGUCAACUUGAACUUCGGUUUGGGUGGCGGACGGGUGAGUAACGCGUAAAGAACUUGCCUCACAGCUAGGGACAACAUUUGGAAACGAAUGCUAAUACCUGAUAUUAUGAUUAUAUGGCAUCGUAUAAUUAUGAAAGCUAUAUGCGCUGUGAGAGAGCUUUGCGUCCCAUUAGCUAGUUGGAGAGGUAACAGCUCACCAAGGCGAUGAUGGGUAGCCGGCCUGAGAGGGUGAUCGGCCACAAGGGGGCUGAGACACGGCCCUUACUCCUACGGGAGGCAGCAGUGGGGAAUAUUGGACAAUGGACCGAGAGUCUGAUCCAGCAAUUCUGUGUGCACGAUGAAGUUUUUCGGAAUGUAAAGUGCUUUCAGUUGGGAAGAAAAAAAUGACGGUACCAACAGAAGAAGUGAUGGCUAAAUACGUG